CUCUCUCUCUCUCUGAAGCUAUUAUCCUCACCACAUCUGCUCAGUGUAUCUGCAUUAUAGUUAUAUAACACACUUUUCUGUAUCCAGUAUACUGGUUUUAAUUAUUAAACUGCUGGAAUAGAGUGACAUUUUGUUGUUAUAAAAAAAAAACCUUCAUUACACCAUCAUUUUUUUUCUUUAUUUCUCACUCUGUCUGCUUUUCUAGGUGGUUGAGCUGAAGCCAGGCGGGAAGGACAUCCCGGUUACCAAGGCGAACCGCAUCGCCUACAUCCUUUUAGUGGCCGAUUACUGGCUGAACAAACAGAUCCGAGCUCACUGCCUGGCAUUCAGACAGGGCCUGGCCAACGUGCUCAACCUCGAGUGGCUGCGCAUGUUUGAUCAACAGGAGAUCCAGGAGGAUACUCGCCCAAUCACCCAGUCAUCAAGAUCUUUUGGGACGUGGUGGAGAAUUUCAGCGAAGAGGAGAAAUGCAAGCUGCUCAAGUUUGUCACCAGCUGCUCACGUCCUCCUCUGCUAGGAUUUAAAAAUCAAGAGGCCCAAACCUGUUCCAGCACGACGAUGCCCCUGAACACAAAGUGCAGAGCUUCAUGAAGAUAUGGUGUGUUACAGUUGGAGUGUAAAACCUCAGGUGCCCUGAACAAAACCCUGACUCUACCUCACUAAACAUCUUUGGGAUGAACUGGAACUCUGACUGCACCCCAGACCUCUUCACCCAAUAUGAGCUCUUAAAUAUCAACCAUGAAUUUACUUAGACAUGAGCCAUUAUGUUCACCAAUACAGCUCAGCUGGAUAUGUACUGUAUAUAUGAAAUUUGCUGCAAGUUGCUGUUUGGACUCUUUACACUCUAUUGAAAAUCAAGUCCAUUGACAAAGCACAAAUAUCACAAGACUGAAAAGGCUCCAUCAUUAAGGAAUUACAUUAUAUUCAUAAAUAUGCAAACUGAAAAUGCACCUCCUCCUUUUCAAAAGCUUGUAUUUUAUAUAUUUACAAUCACUUGUUCAACACUAACGCCCUACUCUACUUUCAUUAGAACGUGAACUAUGAUGGAUUUGCAUGCUUUAAUGUACACUGUGGGGUACCAGGGAUGUACUGGAUUUCCUGCACAGUGCUGUCAUCAUUUUACAAUGACAAAAUAUCAUAACCAGAGAAAUGAUAUGCAUAUUUGAGAUUUAUAGCUCAUUAAAGCUCUUUUUUUUUUUUUUUUUUUUUUACAAAUACAGUGAGGAAAGGUCAGUACAAAAGAUUUUUUUUUUAUUUUUCAUGGCCAAGUUUGCAAAACAUCUAGAAAAAUAUACAACAAAAAGCUUAAAUUUUGCACAAACAGAAUCAUGUCGAGGAAAAAAUGGAACAUAAAACAGAAAAGAAAAGAACAUUCACAUUUUUUCCUCCGUCAUCAAUAAAA